rnacentral:rRNA from 1 species
UAGGGAAUCUUCCGCAAUGGGCGAAAGCCUGACGGAGCAACGCCGCGUGAGUGAUGAAGGUCUUCGGAUCGUAAAACUCUGUUAGUAGGGAAGAACAAAUGUGUAAGUAACUAUGCACGUCUUGACGGUACCUAAUCAGAAAGCCACGGAUAACUACGUGCCAGCAGCCGCGGUAAUACGUAGGUGGCAAGCGUUAUCCGGAAUUAUUGGGCGUAAAGCGCGCGUAGGCGGUUUUUUAAGUCUGAUGUGAAAGCACACGGCUCAACCGUGGAGGGUCAGUGGAAAAUGGAAGACUUGAGUGCAGAAGAGGAAAGUGGAAUUCCAUGGGUAGCAGUGAAAUGCGCAGAGAUAUGGAGGAACACCAGUGGCGAAGGCGACUUUCUGGUCUGUAACUGACGCUGAUGUGCGAAAGCGUGGGGAUCAAAAAGG